rnacentral:lncRNA from 1 species
GGCAUUGAACAAAGUGUAGGUAUUGUUGGAGAUAUAACUGCUGGGCAUAAACCGGCCUAUCUGGGCCAGGUCAACUUCAUCAGUAGUUCAAGAGUGCUAAAGCCUAAGAAGACAGAUGAGGGCCUAAAGCCCGUAGUCGGUUUAAGACUUGUAGCUGUAAACCGACAUUUGUAUAUAAACUUGUAUUGUAAGUUAGGAAUAAGGAGAGACCAACCCGGAUACGAAUAUGGACCGGUGUUGGGACUUUGUGAACCGACGGGCGUCACCCAUGUAUAUAAGGGGACGACCCGGCGGCGGUUCAGGGACAACAGACAACAACUCGAGACUUAGGCGAAGCUUGUUUGCUCCCUAGUCAUCGAAACCCCAUCAAUUCCAUCACAACUAUACGUAGGCUUUUACCUUCAUCAAAGGGGCCGAACUAGUAUAAACUCUCUUGCGUCCCUGUGUCUGCUUUAACCCCUUCAAGCUAACCCGUUGCGAUGGCUCCACGACUAAGUCCUUUCUCUAGGACAUCUGCCGUGACAAAACCACGAUAGUUGGCGCCCACCGUGGGGCUAUCGCAUGAUGGUUUCAAGUUCUUGGAGGGCCGCUUUGAACGACUCAAGGGCUACAUCGUGGGCCGGAUGACUAAGAGUCGUCGCGGCAAGCUCUACAUCGAUGAUGCAGGCUGGGGCCCCAAGGCCGGCUCAGUUGAGUACGGGUACCGGGUCCCCUUUGGUGGCAUACACGUUUUCAUCGGCAAGAUCGGAGAACCGGGCCCUGAGCCAGACAUCUGCACCGACCUCGUCGAAACGGCUCAGCGUGCGUGAUCUGCCCGGGUUAAACCGGUUCAAAAUCUCUGGUGGCUAAAGCGUUUCGCCAUGGCUUCUAUUGGUUAACUGCUCAUGCUGAUGCAGAGGAUCUAGUCAGACGAUGUGAUGGUUGCCAAAAGUUUUCAAGACGUGCUCAUGUGCCAGCUCAAGAACUGAGAAUGAUUCCAAUUACUUGGCCAUUUGCGACUUGGGGGCUGGAUAUGGUUGGACCUUUCAAAAGGUCCAAAGAUAAGAAGACCCACCUCCUGGUGGCGGUUGACAAGUUUACAAAGUGGGUGGAUGCAGAACCUGAUAGCAAGUGUGAUGCGGCCACGGCGGUUCAGUUCAUUAAAAAGGUGAUUUUCCAGUUUGGCUUUCCACACAGUAUCAUCACAGAUAAUGGUACCAAUUUGUCUAAAGGUGCCAUGAAGGAGUUCUGCGAACAGGAGCACAUCCGGCUCGACGUUUCAUCGGUGGCACACCCACAGUCCAAUGGUCAAGCAGAAAGGGCUAAUCAAGAGAUCUUGAGAGGCAUCAAGCCCCAGCUUAUGGUUCCUUUGUAGAGAACACCGGGUUGUUGGGUAGAAGAGUUACCAUCUGUGUUAUGGAGCAUCAAUACUACACCCAACAGAUCAACAGGAUAUACACCGUUCUUCAUGGUUUACGGAGCGGAGGCGGUUCUCCCCAGUGAUAUCCGUCAUGAUUCACCCCGUGUGGCGGCUUAUGUUGAAGAGGACAAUGAGACAGCACGGCAAGGCACUUUGGACCUAUUGGAUGAAGAACGUGACGUAGCAGCUGCCCGCUCGGCGAUUUACCAACAGGAUCUUCGUCGUUAUCACAGUCGCCGAGUCAGAACCAGAACCUUUCAGGAAGGAGAUUUGGUGCUUCGGCUCAUCCAAGAUCAGACUGAUAUGCAUAAGCUAUCCCCACCUUGGGAGGGGCCUUUCGUGGUCAGCAAGAAUCUGCACAACGGGUCAUACUAUCUGAUCAAUAUUCAAGAGCAUAAAGACUCACCUACAUCAGAGGAGGAGACUAACAGGCCAUGGAACAUAGUCAUCUUCGGCCUUACUAUACCUGAGCCAUUGGCUCUACUUAUGUACAUAUUACGAUGAUGUAUAUAUUAUGACUAAAUAUAAUAAACCCGAACCUCAGCUAAAGCGGGGUAUCUGUUCUUUUACAUCAUGUGUGGUUACACGGAGUUGUUCUAAAGUGGCCUCUGGUUUACCCCUUGAGUUAGCUUUUCAAAAGCGUCAUGUUAUAUCACUUGGGGGCUUGGUCGUGUCCGAACCAAUGCAAUACCUCUUGAUAGGCGAGAGCCACCAGAUCACUUGGGGACUUGGUCACGUCUGAACCAGUCAUGCCUCUUGAUCGGCCUAAGGCCAUAGAAUCACUUGGGGGCUUGGUCGAACCCAAACCAUUGCCAUGCCACUUGAUCGGCAUAAAUGCCACGGUUUCAUUUGGGGACCUGGCUGACUUGAACCAUAGCUACACCUAUCGGGAGCUUGGUCGUGUUCGACCAUGGUAACGCCAUCUGAUUAGCUCAAAUAAGCCUCUUUUUGCAAACGGUUUUGUCAUUGCCUUUGCUUCACACUUUUCUUUGAAAGAUAUUUCUUUCUUUUUAUUGCGUUUUUUAAACCGACAAAGUUUUAAACCGGUUCACACUGUCAAUUGACGGAACGCUGUCCAUUUUUUAUCUGGCGACUAUUUGCUCGGUUUGAUUUUUUUGUUAACAUCCUAUUAUGGAGUAACACGGUGUUUAUUAUAACCCGGCAUGGUUUACAUGGUAAACCGGAUCAUAUAUAUAUAGGAUCUGCUAUCUCCUCCAACAGUGUGGGUUUAUAAAACUCCAGUUCAAGAUUGGCCAAGCAAACUUCACGCUCAACGAUGGUAGGUAUUAUCUAUCUCAAAAAUUUGAUCAUAUACUUAAAAAUUUCGGAUGUUUUGAUUUCAUGUAUGCAGACAUCAUAUUCCGCCUGACGGUACAACCGCGGUGGCACUUUAAGAUUUUUUAUUGUAGAAAGUACUUUGGAAAUUUCAUCACCCAAAGGAAUAGCAAGUUGCAGUAAUUAUGCACGAAGGCAUAUCAACAUCAAAAGUAUCAGCUAGCCUAUUACAAGGCAACACGGUGCCCACAAUAAGAUCAUUGUUUUUCGCAAGGGAAAAGCAGUUUUAAACUAGCUUCCGGUUCAAGCUUGGCCACCAGCCUGUCCUGAUGGUUGUGGAUCAUCCCGCACCGCUUCAGCUUCAGUUUCUCUACCCAGCGGCUGGAAAUCAACAGUUGUCCAGUCGAUUCCCAUUAAUGCUUGAAAGACAGCUUCAUCAUGGAUCAGCAAUGACGGUUCAAUAUCGGGAGCGUAAGUAUGCUUACAGAUUGGAGGGAUAAGAUUUUCCGAUUCAUGAACUGGUGCAACUAUUCGCUUGUUUUGAUUGUCAUAUUGGGCUUGAUAAUGAGACAAGUUUGCUUCUUCAGCCAAUUGACAAGCUAGCGGACGCACCUCCCAGUUUAUUGCUUGCCGAUCUGCUUCACCAAACUCUGACCCGUCUUCCUUCAAGCUGGGAUAGCCCUGAGCUGCUUCAAUAGGAUCAAAAUCCGGCACCCAAGCUUUUGCCCGGAUUAAGGCAUUGAUCGCACCGGUUCGAGCAGCAGAUUUCUUCAGCUCUUCAACCCGGGCAGGAAGCACUGACAGUUUCAUCAGAGUGUCUUGAAUCAAAGUGGGCGCCGGUUUGUUGUGAGAUGCAGCACAGAUGAUACGCUGUGCACCAGUGUACAGUUGUUCGAUCAACGUAUAGGCGGCUUUCAAUUUCUUCCGCACAUCUGACCCCAAGUGACCAAUGCGUGUCCCUGAAAUAUCAUAAAGGGUUAACAAACCGGCAGCUCUGUAAGACGGCAGAAUCAAUUCAGAAGUCAAACUGGCUUACCAAAGAUAGCAGUGGUCAUGGCAUGCACGUGCCUCUUUAUCUGCUCAGUUCAUCCGCCACCGGUUUUAGUGUAGCCUCGACAUCCUCUGCUCAUUUGAUUAAAGCGGACUUUUCAGUGGCCCAAUCCGCCCGCUUCUUCUUGAAGCUCUCCUUAAGCUGUUCCAUGGCGCUUAAAGCACUGGCUAAUUCCUCUUUUGCUUUGGAGGUUUCAGCUUGUUGGGAUUUCAGAUUUUCUUGGAGAUCGGCGACUUGGCUUUCUUUCGUCUUCAGCUCAGCCUGCAUGCAGACAGUUAUAUGCUUCAGCAAAACGGUACAAGGAUUGAAGUACCAACCACAUAACAAGUUAUGCACUUGGCACUUGGGGGCUAAUGCAUAUUUGAUCUUCAUCUUUCAAUUGCUUACAAAGUCCCAAGAUCAAUACAAGUAUUCAACUUGGCACUUGGGGGCUAAUGGCUAUUUGCUUGUAUAUAUUCUGAUGCGGCAAUCUCAAUUACUUAAAGUCCCGGUUUAACUACGCUAAGUUGAACCGGCCCUUGGGGGCUACAUCAGCGAAUUUCAAAGCAUUAAGAUUCAUAUUAGUAAGUCCCGGUUUGAAAGAAGAUUACAAACCGGCCCUUGGGGGCUAGGAGAGUCAGCAAGAAUUGAAGCAUACAAGCAGGAAAGAGCAUAUGGAAGUUACCUCAUUUAUCUUUCAUCAUGUUAACCAAACCGGCUUCAUAGUCACGACUGGUAUACAGUCGGUUCAGGUAGCCGGAAUGGAUAUCUUGGGCGUUCAGAGUAGCGUAAGUCGCCAGAUCAGCAUUCCACUUUCCUUUGCCAAAGGCAGCAAAUUCUUGCUUGGCAGUAUGUUUGGACAAAGCGACAGGAUUGCUUGGCUCUGUAUGGCCGAUGCCAGUAAUGACAACCUCAUCAUCCUUGGCAUUGCCGGUUUGCACUGGGGCUGUUGGCUUAUUAGUAGGCUUUGUUGGACCGGUGGAUUUCUCAAUCCGGAUGGAACUUGUGGGCUGAUUGACAGGACUGGAGGUAUCAAUAGGUCUCUCUUCAGCAAUAAGAUCGUCGUCUUGCUGCGGCGGAUCAUUGGGUAUAUCCUCAGGAAUAGCCGCUUCAAGAUCUGGUGUUUUGCCCGGUUCAAGGACGGCAUCUUCUUCGGCCGCUUUGUCCAGGCGAGCCUUCUUGCUUGGCCUAGGUUUGGCCCUGAAAGGAAUAACAAAAUCAAAUACAGCAUAUGUUCCAAGGUGAUGUACUGCAAAUAUUAUGAUAAGUAUAGCUUACCCAAGCACCGUUUUGAGCGAUGGCAGCUGAGUAGCCGAUGACUCGCCAGAGGAUGAGUGGGAAGCAACCUGGUAAUCGGAUUCAGAUGGAUUAAGAGGUUGACGAAAGCAGCCCGCUUUAGGACAAGCACUGACAAGCAAAUUAGAGACCUCUGAGUGGCGUUUCCGAACCGGACUGUUCGGUAAACCGGCGGAGGUAACUACCUGGCCGCUGUGCCGGGUGGUGCGACGAGCUUCAUGCUGUUGGGUCUUCAUAAGAACUUUGGGAUCCAAAUAAGCAAGAGGAUGAGAAAAUUUAACUUUCCGAUUUGCCUCACGGAUUUUUAGUGAAGGCAAAGGUUCUGAAUCAGAAGAGAGAAUAAUUACCUCUGUAGCAUCAGCAUGGCUGGCUUCGGCAUCAUCCUGACAAAUAUCAUCAUCAAUAAGACGCAUGAAAAAUAAGCCAAGUGAGUCAAGCCCUACCUCAAGGUCCAGAUUAUCCACAUCAUGAUCAGGGGCCGGAUUAGAGGAUGCAGUGGUUCUUUUCCUGUAGGCAGUCUUCUUCACAGCUUUAGUCUUUUGCCGGGUUGCUCUUUCCGGUUUGUCUGGUUUUUCUGGUUUCUCCUGCAGCAGUUUCUUGCUCCAAAACGGAUCAUUGCCCUGGUUACACAGACACUGAUAUUAAACAAUGACCAGAUAUAUCAAUAACAGAUUCAGCAAAAAGAAAAAUCAAAGUCUUACAGCUGGCGGUUUGUUGGUGGCACAGAAGGGAAGCAGGCCGGUUUUAGCACAGAUGUGUUCUGGUUCAUUCAGCAUCUUAUUCACAGCCUCUGUGAUUUCUUCAUCGGUGAGCUGGAUAUUGGAAUGUCGCAGUGGGUCAUCAACACUGCCAGUAUACUCGCACAUCAAACCGGAGCGCUGACUAAGGGGCAGUAUGCUCCAUGAUAUCCAACAGCGAGCGAGAUCAACCCCUGUUAAACCGUUGGCCAUAAAGGCUCUGAGCUUCGACAGUUGAGGAGCAUAUUUGCUUCUCUCCUGGGCAGUCAACCUUUGCGGAACGGGGUGUGUAUUGUUGAGCCGCUCCGGACGAAAGCCAGGCAAGGGAUUCUCACCAGCAGGGCAGGUGUCUUUGCUAUAGAACCAUGUCUGAUUCCACUCUUUGGGGUGGCUGUGCAGUUUGGCGUGAGGGUAUGUGACCUCUUUCCUUUUCUGAAUCGCCACGCCACGCAACUCCGUAUUGGAGCCGUUAGUAAACUCAGUACGGCGGUUUAGAUGGAAAAGGUCUCUGAACAAUUCCACUGUGGGCUCCUCUUGAAAGAACGCCUCACAGAGCACUUGAAAGUGACACAUGUUUGUAACAGAGUUGGGGCCAGUGUCUUGUGGAUGGAGUUGGAAAUCGGCUAAAACAUCUCGGUAAAAUUUAGAACCGGGCGGCUUUAAGCCCCGGGCUAAGUGAUCUACGAAAAUGAUGACCUCUCCUUCUUGAGGUGUGGGAGGGCAUUCUUUGCCGGGAGCCCUCCAAUGGAUGGUAUCUUUGCUGCCUAAGGCGCCGAUCAGGACUAAAUCGUCCAGUUGAGCUUCUGUGACGCGAGAAGGAACCCAAUUGCACUCAUAUACUUGCUUGGCCAUGAUGAAAUCUACAAGGUAGAGGAUCCCGGUUCAAAAAUGCACUGAUUAAGGUACAUUGGUAUGUGCAAUGUUAAACCAGAGACAGAUCUAUAUAAACCGGAGUUUUAUGAAGCAAUAACAUCUGGCGGUUCAACAAGGGGACUAAUGGUAUAUACCGGUUUGGCAAUUUUUUCUACAAGGUUAAACCGCCUGAUCUAAGCAUUGAAACAGCUGAGAUUGCGGAUGGAUAAGUAUGCAGAAACAGAUUUCACAAGAUUUCUCUACAGCGUUGGAUCUGAAGCAAGUUCAGAAAAUAAGAAAAAUAUUCAAAAGCUCAAAGCAGAACCGUAUUGAAUCAAUGGGCAGAAAUAUAUGUGAGAUCUAUGGUCUUGGGCAUGAAACUAAAGGCGGAUACUAAAAGCUACCGCUACACAGAGCAGGGGUUCACAGAUGCAUCCAGGAGCUAGUAUAUGAACAUGAACAGGUGAUGAACACUGCAAGAACACGAAACCCUAGAACAGAUAUGUGUUGAGAAGAGCAAAAGGCUUACCAGAGUUGAGGAAGACGCGGAAGGUUGUCGCGGUGCUCUGGUGCGUUCAGGUUGAUGCAGCGGCCAAGGUUGGUGCAGAAGUUGACGGCGGCGGCGGAGCUCUGAGGCUGGCGACGCGAGGAAGACGAAGAAGAAAGGCACGAACGAGAAAAAAGAAAUGACCCUUCGGUCCUAUUUAUAAGGCAAAAGGACAUGUGUCAGGCGCGACAAUCAAGGGGCCACGAAAUGGAGUUGUCGCCUCAAUUUCCGCAGAUCUAUUAAACAAGGAAGCAUAAUGGAUAGCUUCGUUAUGACAGGUGAUGUCACUCCGGUUUACAGCAAUCAGAGAAGAUGGCAUCAUGGCGGUUUACCAAUUUAUGAGAAGAUGUUGAAGAUGAAGUUUUUGCUAAAGGAUUGACAUGAACCCGUUCAAAUCAAUCUGGGGCCUAAUGUUGGAGAUAUUACUGCUGGGCGUAAACCGGCCUAUCUGGGCCGGGUCAACUUCAUCAGUAGUUCAAGAGUGCUAAAGCCCAAGAAGACAGAUGAGGGCCUAAAGCCCGUAGUCAGUUUAAGACUUGUAGCUGUAAACCGGCAUUUGUAUAUAAACUUGUAUUGUAAGUUAGGAAUAAGGAGAGACCAACCCGGAUACGAAUAUGGACCGGUGUUGGGACUUUGUGAACUGACGGGCGUCACCCGUGUAUAUAAGGGGACGACCCGGCGGCGGUUCAGGGACAACAGACAACAACUCGAGACUUAAGCAAAGCUUGUUUGCUCCCUAGUCAUUGAAACCCCAUCAAUUCCAUCACAACUAGACGUAGGCUUUUACCUUCAUCGAAGGGGCCGAACUAGUAUAAACUCUCUUGCGUCCCUGUGUCCGCUUUAACCCCUUCAAGCUAACCCGUUGCGAUGGCUCCACGACUAAGUCCUUUCUCUAGGACAUCUGCCGUGACAAAACCACGACAGGUAUCAUGGUCAAUUAUCUCUAAGGUAUGCCUUUAGCCUUUUAGUGCAUUUAGAAGUUACAAGAUGACAUGAUUUGUUUCUUUGUAUGUAGCAUCUAUCUGCAUGCAUACUAUAUUUAUCGGCUUUAUUCAUACUGAUGUCUUCCCAAAGCAACUAUGUAUUAGAACAGAAGCAAUAGGGGCCUGAACCAAUAGGGGUCUUCCCAAAGCCAACCAAUCCAGUUUACGCAUCCAUUUGGCCAAGCUAGUUGGUUGCAACGUGAAUGAAAAUAGGCCAAUGAUUGCAGCGAGAGAUGCCUUGCUGAUUAGUAGUAUGCGUUUGUCCAUGAGCGUCUCCCUUCUAUUUUUUUCUUUAAUUGGGACAUGAACGUCUCCCUUUUAUAGGUAUUUGACUGUUAGACAAUUUAUAUACAUGUCCAUGCAUGGGUUUGUUGAAUUUUUUCCUAGAGUUCAAAGUGAUCCCUUGGUAUGCGUUUGUAUUUCUAUGAAAUAUGAUCAUGCUAUUUUUUAGGAAAAAUAUUCUGGUGUCAUAAAUCUAGAUGCUUUUGCUGGUUUCCAGAUCUUUGUUGGCACGGCUGCACCUCUUUGGUUACCUGGCAUGGCAAUGCAACAUAAGUCUACAUGGUAUUGUUGUACAUAACAUGAUGAUAGAACAUAAAUUGCUGACACUAAGCGCACAUAUUUUGGUACUUAGUCGUCCAUGCAUGAUUUAUUAUAGUUAAAAUUCUAUUGUAGGUGCGAACCAACAUGUGAUUGGGUGGUUAGUGGUAGGGUGCGCGUGCGUGCGUUUAUACGGAUACGUGUAUGUGCGUAUGUAUGAGUGUGUGUGUUUGCACUAUGUUGAAAACAAAUGUAUUGUAGGCAUGCUUUGUUUUAAAAAAGAAUACGAAGAGAGAUACUUCAUUAGAUAAAAAAAGUAUCUCCUAAUAUCAUUGUCGUCACUAUAAGUUUGAUUUGUAUAAGUGCAAAUCUACUUGGUAGAGCUACUCUUUUUGUGAAACCCAUGUCUGAGUUAAACAUUACGCACUAAGCAAUACAGACUGUAUUACGAUAGAACGCUAAUGUUCGGACUAUCUAUUUGGUAGAGCUAGUAUUUUUUUUAAAUCCACAGGACACAUCAAAUAGGAGUCCAGGCUGUUUUUUUCUUUCACAUGCUAGCUAGGGCGCUUAUCUUGUGCGUGGGGGGUUAGGUGCCGGACACUUCUUUUGUUUUUCUGUACUGGACACUUCCUAUUUUCCGUAGGGGGUUAUGUAGCUCUUAAUCGUGAAAAAUCUAGAGAGGUUGCGAAGGAGUUUGUCUUUUCUUCAGUGAAUGCUUAUCUAAUAGACUAUAAAAUAAGCUACUGGGUUGGAUGAUCUCUGUUUCAGAUGGUCAAUACCUUCAUUGUUGAUAAAACUGCAAGCACAUGAACAUAGCUCUAUAUAGUACCAUGUGAGCCGUUGAUAUCAUGAGGAUUUAUUGACUGACUGUGUUAAUCCACAAAUGUGCUUUGAACAACUUGAGCUGAUUACACUUUCUUGACAAAUUUUUGUGAAAAAAUUCAGGUACUUAGCCAACUGGUGCACAUGGACGUGAUGACUUUGCAGCGUUUAUGGACCAACCAACUUGUAAUCAUGGAUCUUAUGUGUUGUAGACCAUUUGGUGAUUUGGUUAUUUUAUAGCUUGCAUUUUGUGCAUGUGGAUACAGACUUGUGUGUUCUGGAUCAUCUAGUUGAAGUUUCUCAUACCAGCAAAUAGUGCUGUCUUUUUGUGACUUGUGUGUUCUAGGUGAUUGUUAAGAUGGUAAAAACUAUGCUUUGUCAAGAUUGAUGUGUUUGUCAACUUGUGUUCAAUGUAUAUGCACGUUUGUGAAUAUAUUUCAUUGUUGUACAAAACGUGUUCAUC